GUCCACGCCCUAAACGAUGUCAACUGGUUGUUGGGUCUUCACUGACUCAGUAAUGAAGCUAACGCGUGAAGUUGACCGCCUGGGGAGUACGGCCGCAAGGUUGAAACUCAAAAGGAAUUGACGGGGGACCCGCACAAGCGGUGGAUGAUGUGGUUUAAUUCGAUGCAACGCGAAAAACCUUACCCACCUUUGACAUGUAUGGAAUCCUGAAGAGAUUUAGGAGUGCUCGAAAGAGAGCCAUAACACAGGUGCUGCAUGGCUGUCGU
rnacentral:rRNA from 1 species